GGGCCCGUAGCUCAGCCUGGUAGAGAAGUUCUGGUUUGAUUAAUCAGAAUUUCCCAGUAAGCAACGGACUCUUAGGACGUGAGAAAUCCGUUUGUCGGGGGUUCAAAUCCCCCCGGGCUCGCCA
rnacentral:tRNA from 1 species